rnacentral:rRNA from 1 species
GCCUAACAUCUAGCCCACACCACCCACAUGAACCUUUUUUCCUACACCCCACGUACGCAACAAAACAUUUUAUCUCUUUAGUACAGGCGAUCGAAAAACUUAUAGGCGCUUCAGAUUAAGUACCGCAAGGGAAAGAUGAAAUAAAAAUGAAAUAAUUUUAAAGCCCCAAAUAGCAGAGAUAUACCCUCGUACCUUUUGCAUCAUGGUCUAGCUAGUCUAACCAAGCAAAAUGUGAACUUUAGUUUGACACCCCGAAACUAAGUGAGCUACUUCGAAACAGCCCUAAGGGGCCAACCCGUCUCUGUUGCAAAAGAGUGGGAAGAUUUUUAAGUAGAGGUGAUAAGCCUACCGAACUUAGAGAUAGCUGGUUAUUCAGGAGAAGAGUCUUAGCUCUGCCUUAAGUUUUUUAAUUAACUCAAACAAAUCUUUAAACUUAAGAGUUAUUCAAGUAAGGUUCAGCUUACUUGAAACAGGAUACAACCUCCAAUAUUGGGUAAAUAAAGGAAACCUAGAUAAAGUGGGCCUAAAAGCAGCCACCUUAUGAAAAGCGUUGAAGCUUAAUCACUGUUUCACCUAUAAUUUCUUGAUUCCUUAUUAACCCCUCACCCCUACUGAAUCAUUUUAUAACAUUAUAAAAAUUAUUAUGCUAGAACUAGUAACAAGAAACUGCCUUUUCUCCUGAAUGUCAGCCAGAACCGAAAUAAACCCUGUCGGUAUUUAACGUAAAUGCUUUAAAUAUAGUAACCCGCAACUAGAAAACCCUAUUAUUUUUAACGUCAACCUUACACCAGAACAUUACAGGAAAGAUAAAAGAAAGAGAAG